GACGUAGGGCGCGAGCGUUGUCCGGAUUUAUUGGGCGUAAAGGGCUCGUAGGCGGCCAACUAAGUCGGACGUGAAAUCCCUCAGCUUAACUGGGGAACUGCGUCCGAUACUGGAUGGCUUGGAUUUGGGAGAGGGAUGCGGAAUUCCAGGUGUAGCGGUGAAAUGCGUAGAUAUCUGGAGGAACACCGGUGGCGAAGGCGGCAUCCUGGACCGGCAUUGACGCUGAGGCGCGAAAGCCAGGGGAGCAAACGGG
rnacentral:rRNA from 1 species